CGAACGCUGGCGGCAUGCCUAACACAUGCAAAUCGACCGCACCCUUCGGGGUUAGUGGCGCACGGGUGCGUAACGCGUGGGAAUCUGCCCUUUGCUUCGGAAUAACUCAGGGAAACUUGUGCUAAUACCGGAUGAUGUCUUCGGACCAAAGAUUUAUCGGCAAGGGAUGAGCCCGCGUAGGAUUAGGUAGUUGGUGGGGUAAAGGCCUACCAAGCCGACGAUCCUUAGCUGGUCUGAGAGGAUGAUCAGCCACACUGGGACUGAGACACGGCCCAGACUCCUACGGGAGGCAGCAGUGGGGAAUAUUGGACAAUGGGCGCAAGCCUGAUCCAGCAAUGCCGCGUGAGUGAUGAAGGCCCUCGGGUCGUAAAGCUCUUUUACCAGGGAUGAUAAUGACAGUACCUGGAGAAUAAGCUCCGGCUAACUCCGUG
rnacentral:rRNA from 1 species